UUUGUCAGUAAAGAGCCGGCUGGCGGUCUGGUUUCAGGUGGACCCGGGAUCAGGUGGUCGGGGCUCCACCCCGGCAGCCCGUGGGACCCGUUUGAUGUGAAGGUAUGGGUGGGAUGCUCUCCAAGUUGUAACAUGCCCACGUCCCACCAACCAAACUCAUAGAGCAUGGAUCAAAUGGCAAUCUGUUCUGACUUUCAGCGACAUCAUGGAGGAUUACCGCGAAAGAAUAUGGAGUUUGGAAAUAGACAAAGCAUUAAAGCCUAUGACUGUGUAGUAAUUACACUUUUGAAUAAUUAUUUGAGAGGCAUCUCUCUCCAGUUACUGAGCCUGAUGUUGUGAAAGUGACAGUUAAUGUCGACCACAAGUCGGCCUUCAUAAAUCACAUAAUACAUAAUAAUCGACAAUAUCAAUCUACUUUGUAAAGUAUACGAUAUGGAAGACCCUACGAUUCAAUUCAGUUUAUUUUAUAUAGCCCAAUAACACACAUUCUCCUCAGAGGGCUUUACAGUCUGUACAUAUGACCUUUGACCUCACAUCGAUCAGGAAAAACUCAAAAAUAGAUAAAAAUCCAUUUCACGGGGGGAAAAAUGUGAGAACCCUCCAGGAGAGCAACAGAGGAGGAUCCCUCUCCAGGAGGGACAGAAGCAAUAAUGAUGCAUCAAAAUACAUUUAAAGAGUGCUCUUGUUUAUGUUCUUUGACUUGGUAACAUGUAUAUUAUUAUAGAAACGUGGGCAUUUUUUAAAUGAUAAAAUACUGUUCACAUCGGCACACACACAGUCCGUAUCACACGGAUACGUGCACCGUUUGCCUCAUUUCCGGCCACUAAAACCAGAGGUGGGCGGGGUCGAGCAGCGUGGACCGAUCCAAUCGGAAUAUGACAUUUUAACUGAAACGAGUGCUCCCUGGUGGAGGCCGUGUCAGGCAAGUCCAGAUAAACAAAGCGAUUAGACAUUAUGUCAAUAAAAAAAAGACAACAUGCCUAAUAAAUUGAGACAUUUUCGGUCGAUUUUUUUGUGUGUGUUGCAUUUUCAGUGACUGUGGGGAGCUCCAUGAGGUGGACGAGCCCCGCAGGUGUUACGGUUUAACCGGCGACCCUGUUAACUGGAGACUUUCCACGUAACCUAUAACAAGAUGUCCUAAUGACGUGUCAACCCCUCUCAUAUACUUGAUAAUAUAUACGAUACAGCUUAACCAUAGCGAUGUUCACGAGGGCAGCUAUACGUGUUCUCUGCCCAUUUCCAACGGCUGUCUGUAACUACGACAACAACGGACGCGUUGGUUCAAAGUCGCCAGUUAACACGGUCGCUUCUUACACCGUAACACCGGCCUCGCGACGGCUCGACACGCCGCUCAGUUGGUUCACGUCGGCGACGCGCGGUGGACGACACACGGUCAACGUUACGUCAGCCCUCAGUCGGGUAGUCGUGACGUAUAGAGCUACAGUGCAGCUUUGCCACCACCCACUCUCUACAGUGCGGAAAUACCCAGAUGACGCACUUGAGAGCAAAAAGAAAAUAGGUUGCGAGUGGGAGAGGCAAUAACAUAACUUCAGGCUUCAGUCACCAUAUGGAGAGAGCGUCGGACUGGAUCCGCUCUGACCGCCGGCCCACACAGGAGUGUCAAUAACCACGCGGGGCUCCUCCUACCUCUGUGUCUUCACUAUAAUGUCUACUUUAAUGUAUUUUUUCAACUCAAUGCAAUAAAAAAAUAUCCAUAAAAAAAGUUAAUCAAAAAUACUUCGCCCUCAUACUAUUCACACUCUGACCACUUGAGGGCGCUGUCCGCAAAUAAAUCAGCUCCUCGUUCGCCGUCAUCACUGUGCAGUGCACGGGUAAUGUGUCAGUGACUAGAAUACAUGUCAGGUUCCUCAUUUAAAGCUUACUUUGUGUCAAUAACCAACAUAUCUACACUCAGAUUAUCAUUUUCGUACAAGUCUGACCAACUGUGUCUGAAGGAGAUAUUUAUUUGACGUUAAUAUUUCGUUGUUCACAAGUAAUAUUGUUGAAUUAUUCUAGAUGUUUACUUAUUUGGGUUAGAUUUUUUAUAUAUAUUAGGAUAGAUGUUUCACUUAAAAUAAUCUUUGUGUUAUGUUUAUUGGAGCGACACAGUUUUUUCUUUCUUUCAAUAAAACAACAGUAUUCUUCUACAUUUAUAAUUUUGCAGUAACCUGUUGCAAAGACUGCUAUCAGGAUGCUUUCAUGUGUUGUCCGAAAUGACUGACAGAUUGAGCAAACAACAACAACAACAACAACACCAUUCAAUCAAGAGGGUGUGAAUUGCCCUUUACCUGUUUGUAUUGAAUGUCAGUGGUGUUAUCCACCUUUUGUAUUUGGGGACCCUUUGAGGGGCUUCUUAUUUAUAAAAGUAAGGCAGCUCGCCCUGAGUGCAUGCUGGGGAAAAAACGUCCAAGCAUUUCCUGAACCCACUGAUCCUGUUCAAGGUGCCAUCACUCCUCGGAACGUGUCUUCAUCGUGUAAAGGUUGUUGUAUGUUACAAUGUUGGACAUUGUUUCAAUAAAGGACAAUAGGACAUGUA